CAUUCAUCAAAACCGGCUUAUUUUUUUAACACACGACACUACAUCUCACAACUACAUACAUACCUACACAGACUGUUAAAAACCAGAAUUCUUCUUAUAAUUAGCACAGACAGCACAGCGGAUGUCAUUCCAGAUCUAGAGCAGAGCCCAACUGGGGAAGUACUCCACCUUACAGAAAACCGCAGUCAAAUAACACUAGACCCUAAACUAUGUGUGUUCCUGCCGGUGAGUAAGUUGCCAGAGCUGAACGAGGGUGCGGAGUGUUAAGGUCGGCAACUUUUCUGGAGUUACAGGCAUAUAUAGGCUACGGCGACUGCUUCCAUCAGGGGAGCCGUACGUUGUUUGCCUCCGACGUAGUAUAAAAAAUAAUCUUAACGGCAUCGGAAUUCCAAGUUACAUUGAGAAUUCAUCAGUAACAAUGUUCUAACCAAAAUAAACUAAUUAUUUAUUUA